UACGUAGGGUCCAAGCGUUAUCCGGAAUUACUGGGCGUAAAGCGUGCGUAGGCGGGUGCUUAAGUGCAAUGCGAAAUCCUGUGGCUCAACCAUAUGGACUGUAUUGCAUACUGGGUACCUUGAGGAAUGCAGAGGCAAGUGGAAUUACCGGUGUAGCAGUGAAAUGCGUAGAUAUCGGUAGGAACACCAAUGGCGAAGGCAGCUUGCUGGGCAUUAUCUGACGCUAAGGCACGAAAGCGUGGGGAGCGAACAGG
rnacentral:rRNA from 1 species